AGGCUGUAAGAAGGUUGUACUUUAAAGGUUAUAAAAAGGUUGUAAGGACUUACCCUCUGAAAUGCGAAUACUGGCAUCAUAACUUAACAAGUCGUUCUCUGUUUGACCUUGUAGCUCAGAUUGUAGAGCAUCGUUCUAGAAAUGCAAAGGUCGCGGGUUUGAAUCCCAGUCGAGUCAAGUAGAUUUUUCUACUUGCCAGGCUUGGUCUACACUCGUCUGACAAAAACUGUACAUAACAUUACACAAGUGGAAUCGUCAACGUGGGAAACCACAACAUUCAUAUACAACAUUCAUAUACAACAUUGCCAUAACAUUCAUAUACAACACUGCCAGACUAAUAGCUGGCUUCGCGCAUUGAAGGACUAAUCUCCGAAAUGCGAAUAACAUCAUAACUUAACAAGUCGUUCUCAGCUUGACCUUGUAGCUCAUAUUGUAGAGCAUCGUUCUAGAAAUGCAAAGGUCGCGGGUUCGAAUCCCAGCCGAGUCAAGUAGAUUUUUCUACUUGCCCAGCUUGGUCUACACUCGUCUGACAAAAACUCAAUAACUGUAUUUUAAAGGUUGUAUUUUAAAGGUUGUAUUUUAAAGGUUGUAUUUUAAAGAUUGUAAAAAGGUUGUAUUUUAAAUGUUGUAUUUUAAAAGUUGUAUUUUAAAG